rnacentral:rRNA from 1 species
UGCAAGUCGAGCGGUAACAGGUGUAGCAAUACAUGCUGACGAGCGGCGAACGGGUGAGUAAUGCUUCGGAAUCUGCCCAAUGGUGGGGAAUAACCAGCCGAAAGGUUGGCUAAUACCGCAUAAGUCCUACGGGGGAAAGCAGGGGAUCGCAAGACCUUGCGCCGAUGGAUGAGCCGAAGUCGGAUUAGCUAGUUGGUAGGGUAACGGCCUACCAAGGCGACGAUCCGUAGCUGGUCUGAGAGGACGACCAGCCACACUGGGACUGAGACACGGCCCAGACUCCUACGGGAGGCAGCAGUGGGGAAUAUUGGACAAUGGGGGAAACCCUGAUCCAGCGACGCCGCGUGUGUGAAGAAGGCCUGCGGGUUGUAAAGCACUUUUAGUGGGGAUGAAAAGCUCAGGGCUAACACCUCUGGGUCUUGACCUAACCCAAAGAAAAAGCACCGGCUAACUCUGUGCCAGCAGCCGCGGUAAUACAGAGGGUGCGAGCGUUAAUCGGAAUUACUGGGCG